AGUGAACGCUGGCGGUAGGCCUAACACAUGCAAGUCGAACGGCAGCACAGUAAGAGCUUGCUCUUACGGGUGGCGAGUGGCGGACGGGUGAGGAAUACAUCGGAAUCUACUUUUUCGUGGGGGAUAACGUAGGGAAACUUACGCUAAUACCGCAUACGACCUACGGGUGAAAGCAGGGGAUCUUCGGACCUUGCGCGAUUGAAUGAGCCGAUGUCGGAUUAGCUAGUUGGCGGGGUAAAGGCCCACCAAGGCGACGAUCCGUAGCUGGUCUGAGAGGAUGAUCAGCCACACUGGAACUGAGACACGGUCCAGACUCCUACGGGAGGCAGCAGUGGGGAAUAUUGGACAAUGGGCGCAAGCCUGCUCCAGCCAUACCGCGUGGGUGAAGAAGGCCUUCGGGUUUUAAAGCCCUUUUGUUGGGAAAGAAAAGCAGCAGGUUAAUACCCCGCUGUUCUGACGGUACCCAAAGAAUAAGCACCGGCUAACUUCGUG
rnacentral:rRNA from 1 species